rnacentral:rRNA from 1 species
AUUGAACGCUGGCGGCAGGCCUAACACAUGCAAGUCGAACGGUAACAGGAAGCAGCUUGCUGCUUCGCUGACGAGUGGCGGACGGGUGAGUAAUGUCUGGGAAACUGCCUGAUGGAGGGGGAUAACUACUGGAAACGGUAGCUAAUACCGCAUAACGUCGCAAGACCAAAGAGGGGGACCUUAGGGCCUCUUGCCAUCGGAUGUGCCCAGAUGGGAUUAGCUAGUAGGUGGGGUAACGGCUCACCUAGGCGACGAUCCCUAGCUGGUCUGAGAGGAUGACCAGCCACACUGGAACUGAGACACGGUCCAGACACCUACGGAAGGCAGCGAUUGGGAAUAUUGCACAAUGGGCGCAAGCCUGAUGCAGCCGUGCCGCGUGUAUGAAGAAGGCCUUCGGGUUGUAAAGUACUUUCAGCGGGGAGGAAGGGAGUAAAGUUAAUACCUUUGCUCAUUGACGUUACCCGCAGAAGAAGCACCGGCUAACUCCGUG